rnacentral:lncRNA from 1 species
UCGGGUAUUGCCAUGACGUACAUUGUGAUUUCAGUUUUCAUCAAUGUCGCUCUUAUUAUUAUCUCUUUGUAGCUUCAUAUAAAAUUAGUGUUGACAUGGUCAUUUUACAGAAUGAGUGAAAAUGGUAGGUUGGUAGAAUCAUAACCUGUGAGUUCCUUAAGAAGUUUUUUUCAUUAUCUGUAAUAUAUUGUUUAGGGCCAGUUAAGAUGUGUAGUCGAAAAAUAUGAGUAAAAUAGUGAAUAUUUUGCAUUGCCUUGGUGUUUAGUAUGUCUAUUGCAUAAUCCUUUUUUGCUUCUCUUUUCAAAGCAAGGACCAGGCUGGGAACAUAUGUUUAUAAUGAAGUUCUUUCAUUGCAGACUGCAGACUGCAUAGUAACUUCAUGUUCUUAGUGGCGAUCCAUUAGCAGCAGACCUUGCCCAUGAGCUAAUGGCAGUCCAUGUAAAUGCCUUUAAUUCUUACACUUUAUCUUACACUUGAAUACUUGUCAGUGGUACUGCUAGCCUUUUACCUUUGUAAUACAUAGUAGGAAAUUUCUGAAGCUUUAUCUUGCCAUAUGUAUCUAAUUUGUUGUUGGCCGUAUUAGAAAUAAUCAAUAAUUUCGCCACGUGGGAGCUCAUGCUUGUGGGCAAGUUGUCUGGCUAAAUUUCUCUGUACAUACACUUCUUUCUUUAGAGAACUAGAAUUGUUUGAUACUGGCAGUUUAUGUCGAGCUGCCUAAGGUACAUGCUUUUUUUCUCCUUUUCUCUAAUCCUUCCUUUACAUGUUGGUACGUUUUAUAGCCAGGUUCAGAUCGGUGAUAUCCGUGCCAAUGGAUGAGGUAUGACAAUAUUUGUCUUAUUUACUGCUUGCAUACAUAGUGAGUUCAUUCAUCCUACUACUGACUAAAACGUACAGUUACAUACUCAAUGAAGUUGAUCUUGGGCUCAACCCUUUAACUCCAGCCUGCAACUGCUGGAAGUUUCCUGGCUAAGAAGCACUGAGAAAAGGAUUACUGAAGCGGUGACUGGGUGGGUACACCUGAGGCGAUUGAUGUCAAGAUCCUGAGCAUGUGGAAUUGGAAUUUCGUUUGUCGAGUCCUGGCACCAGUAUUGUUGGCUGUUUUGUUAACUUUCCCCCCCUGUUUAUGGGAGAUCCUUUAGGAGCUGUAGGCGCUAAACAACACCUAAGUUUCAUUCAUGCAACCAUGAAGGUUUUGGGGGAUGACACUCUUGCUCUCAGAAAAGGUUCUAUACACAAUUUCAUUCCAUAGGUUCUGGGAGAUCCUUUGUGUAAAUAAUAGCUUGCAAAAACGUCGUACAUUGCAUGUCGGAGGAGUAUUACUUAUCCAUGUUAACAUUGUGAAUGAUAAGUUACAUAAGGGAGAAACUUUAUCACCAAAUAAAGGCUUUGAUAUGCAAAUAAUUCUCUGUACAAUGUCAAGAUCAUACACCCAUAAGUUGAGAAAAAUAAUGGCUUUAAGUUCUUAG